rfam:Microdochium bolleyi strain J235TASD1 unplaced genomic scaffold Micbo1qcscaffold_5, whole genome shotgun sequence.
GCCCGCUUGGCUCAUCGGUAGAGCGCCUCACUAGUAAUGAGGAGGUAAUUGGUUCGACUCCAGUAGUGGGCA